rnacentral:rRNA from 1 species
AGCUCAUGUUGUAAAUCUGGCCUUCGGGCCCGAAUUGUAGUCUGGAGAGGCGAGGCCAGCCGUUGUCCGGGGCGAAGUCUCUUGGAAAAGAGCAUCAAGGAGGGUGACAAUCCCGUUCUUGCCCCGGUAUUGUAUCAGCGUGCGUACGGCCCGUUUUCUAAGAGUCGAGUUGCUUGGGAUUGCAGCUCAAAGCGGGUGGUAAAUACCAUCUAAAGCUAAAUAUUGGUGGGAGACCGAUAGCGAACAAGUACCGUGAGGGAAAGAUGCAAAGAACUUUGAAAAGAGAGUUAAAGAGUGCCUGAAAUUGCUGAAAGGGAAGCGAAGGAAAGCAGUGUCUGGUGGUUUCGCUUCUCCUCUAUCCUUCGGGGUGUUGGUUUGCGUUUCUACCGUUGCCAGGGCCGGGUGUAGUUGCGGCAAGCAAGCGUGAGGGUAGGUAACCAUAUCUUCGGAUGACGGUGAAUGGCCAUUCGCUUUGU